rnacentral:rRNA from 1 species
CCUACGGGUGGCAGCAGUCGAGAAUCAUUCACAAUGGGGGAAACCCUGAUGGUGCGACGCCGCGUGGGGGAAUGAAGUUCUUCGGAUUGUAAACCCCUGUCAUGUGGGAGCAAAUUAAAAAGAUCGUACCACACGAGGAAGAGACGGCUAACUCUGUGCCAGCAGCCGCGGUAAUACAGAGGUCUCAAGCGUUGUUCGGAAUCACUGGGCGUAAAGCGUGCGUAGGCUGUUUCGUAAGUCGUGUGUGAAAGGCGCGGGCUCAACCCGCGGACGGCACAUGAUACUGCGAGACUAGAGUAAUGGAGGGGGAACCGGAAUGCUCGGUGUAGCAGUGAAAUGCGUAGAUAUCGAGAGGAACACUCGUGGCGAAGGCGGGUUCCUGGACAUUAACUGACGCUGAGGCACGAAGGCCAGGGGAGCGAAAGGGAUUAGAUACCCUAGUAGUC